UUAGAUGGCAGUCUUUGUGCAGCACACAUUCUCUUUCUCUUUUUCUCUUUUCUUUUUUAUCAAUUUUAUUUUGGAUUGAGAGUAUAUUAUAUUAUAUAUCUUUUGACUUUUUGCAGUUAGGAGAGGACCUUUGCGGACACUUUGCCAGCUGUUGUCCUCAUAUUGCCUCUACCAUUGUGCGCUUUUUGGUCCUUUGAACUGUUCCAUUCACGCCCAGGUUUUCAUACUUUUCACAAGAUACCCCAACUAGUUCUAAUUUGCCCAAUGGUGCAUGAUGAAUGUGGGUAUAACCUAUAGUACCAGACUCCACCUCAUAAGGUAAAGGGUCUGAUUACAAGUUGCAUCUUGGACGCUGUUGAGCAUUCUUCAAAUCUACCAAAGCACCGUUUAUCGGUGAGUACUAUAGUCAUGGAUAUAUGCAUUUCUAAUUGCUCAGAGGCCUUUAUGUAUGUUUAUAAACGCCUUAUAUGUAAUAGCAUUGUAUUGCACCUCUGUAUAUUUGUAUUUGUAAUGACAACACUAUAUUGUCUUUUAACACCCAGAAGCUCCCGAAGAAGCGACGACGUCGCGAAACAUGUCGAGCUGAACCCCAUUUUAACCAGAACUCAUCCUGUACCAUCUUUUCGAAGCUACAACGCCACCCAGCGCCUAUAGUGUAUUCUAUACAUCCAGCCCUGUGGCUAUUAGCGGUGUCUUUAGAAAGUGAUAGGAUUUGAGCUCUUUUGUGUACUUUAUUGUUCAUUUUUUUCUUUUUUUUUUUAUUAUUUCGAGCAAUUGUCCUGUAUAUCUAUGUUUUGUAUUGUCUAAAUUAAAAUAUUUAUAUUCUUAAA